rnacentral:lncRNA from 1 species
CAGAAAUGUCCCAAAAGUGCAAACCCCACCCUCCUGGUACUCUAGGCAAGCUUAAGCAUAAACUGAAAAUAUUUGAACGAUUUCAAAUGGCAUUUGAACCCAGGUCUGGCUCUGAGCCUAACAGCUAUUAUGGCCAGAUGCCAGUCAUAGUAACAGAGAAUCUGUAGCAUUUGUGAGUCAGUCUCCAGCCACGUUUGACUCUCCGUAAACACAUUGUGAUUUAAGAGCUAAAAUGGCCCACGCUCUCUCUAGCCAGUUGUGUGUGAACUGAGCAAACGUUUGUUGUUCUAUCUAAUAAGCUGUCACAGUGACACACACACGACCAAACACUAUCAUGGUCGACUCAACAGAAGGUUCAUUUUCGGAGUCAAGCAGCAUCGGUAGUAUUAUUGAGAGUUGUGAACACAGAAAAAGUGUUGGAGUUGUAUCUUUCCAGUGAUAGUGACCAUCUUCAUACGAAACCUUCAGGGCUAUGUCCUACACUGUCACACUACCAGCCCACCUCAAGUUUCUUUCUCUCCUUCUGUAGCCACUUUCACAAAGAGACAGGUUGUAGCUCAUCAGGAUGCAUGGCUCAAUUAGGCCUCUUUAGCCCUUCCAUACUGUCCAGUUCUGUGACCCAUCCACAUAUAGGUAACUGCCACAUCCACAUACAGGUAACUGACCCAUCCCCAUACAGGUAACUGCCACAUCCACAUACAGGUAACUGACCCAUCCACAUACAGGUAACUGACCCAUCCACAUACAGGUAACUGACCCAUCCACAUACAGGUAACUGACCCAUCCACAUACAGGUAACUGACACAUCCACAUACAGGUAACUGACACAUCCAUAUACAGGUAACUGACCCAUCCACAUACAGGUAACUGACCCAUCCACAUACAGGUAACUGACCCAUCCACAUACAGGUAACUGACACAUCCACAUACAGGUAACUGACACAUCCAUAUACAGGUAACUGACCCAUCCACAUACAGGUAACUGACACAUCCACAUACAGGUAACUGACUCAUCCACAUACAGGUAACUGACUCAUCCACAUACAGGUAACUGACCCAUCCCCAUACAGGUAACUGACUCAUCCACAUACAGGUAACUGACUCAUCCCCAUACAGGUAACUGACCCAUCCACAUACAGGUAACUGACUCAUCUCCAUACAGGUAACUGACUCAUCCACAUACAGGUAACUGACUCAUCCCCAUACAGGUAACUGACACAUCCCCAUACAGGUAACUGACCCAUCCACAUACAGGUAACUGACACAUCCACAUACAGGUAACUGCGACAUCCACAUACAGGUAACUGACACAUCCACAUACAGGUAACUGACCCAUCCACAUACAGGUAACUGACCCAUCCACAUACAGGUAACUGCCAUAUCCACAUACAGGUAACUGCCACAUCCACAUACAGGUAACUGACCCAUCCACAUACAGGUAACUGCCACGUCCACAUACAGGUAACUGACACAUCCAUAUACAGGUAACUGACCCAUCCACAUACAGGUAACUGACCCAUCCACAUACAGGUAACUGCCACAUCCCCAUACAGGUAACUGACCCAUCCACAUACAGGUAACUGACACAUCCACAUACAGGUAACUGACCCAUCCACAUACAGGUAACUGACACAUCCACAUACAGGUAACUGACACAUCCAUAUACAGGUAACUGACCCAUCCACAUACAGGUAACUGACCCAUCCACAUACAGGUAACUGCCAUAUCCACAUACAGGUAACUGCCACAUCCACAUACAGGUAACUGACCCAUCCACAUACAGGUAACUGCCACGUCCACAUACAGGUAACUGACACAUCCAUAUACAGGUAACUGACCCAUCCACAUACAGGUAACUGACCCAUCCACAUACAGGUAACUGCCACAUCCCCAUACAGGUAACUGCCACAUCCACAUACAGGUAACUGCGACAUCCACAUACAGGUAACUGACACAUCCCCAUACAGGUAACUGACCCAUCCACAUACAGGUAACUGACACAUCCACAUACAGGUAACUGACACAUCCACAUACAGGUAACUGACACAUCCACAUACAGGUAACUGCCAUAUCCACAUACAGGUAACUGCCACAACAAUGGAAACAUAAAGUGUCUUAACAGGGCUUUGGGCCUCAUAUCUCUACAUUCUUACGUCUGGUCCCAGAUCUGUAGCAGCACAAACAGGACUGUGACAAGGCUUUGUAUAUUUGCAUGGGCAGAACAGUGUUUGUUAACAGCAGAGCAAAAGAGGAAGUUAGAGCUAGGCUUUUCUCAUGCCAGUUCAUCUCCAGUGUGUACGUAUCACAUGCCUCUCUUGGGUUGGUUAAUCAGCGGUCGUGUUGUGUUUGCUCUGUUCGGAAUACAAGCGGGGCAAGACUGAUUCGUGAUUCGUUUGGUUUGGAUAGGGAGAUCAGCAUAGACAAAUGGUUCUCUCAGAGGAGACUGUUUAUGGCAAUCAACAGAGUGCAACACACACACGUAUGUUGUGUAGAGGGAAGGAAGGAGCGAACACAUUCUCUUUCGCACGCACGCACACACACACACACACACACACACACACACACACACACACACACACACACACACACACACACACACACACACACACACACACACACACACACACACACACACACACACACACACACAUUAUUGGCCUUGAGUGGUGUUACUUCAGGGACCAACAGAUAAGACUAAGGGCAUGUUUUGGUACCAUGAAUGGUUUUAAGGAUAAACAGUUGAAUGCUGUCCAUCCCAGGGGAGCGUCAUCCUCAGUCAUGCGCCGGCCCGGUUUGUUGUUUUUAAAACAUCUCUGAGGUCAUCUGAGACAUCUGGCUUGUUUUUCCAGCAAACUACUUAGUCCUGGGGCUGUUUUUCCCAUGGUUCCCUUUCCAGGACAUGCAAACACAACAGAUAGUGUCUCCCAUUGAGGCAGUCUCACUGGACCUGCAUGGGAGACAGUGAUUUGCAUGCAUGGAGAAAAACUGUCACUUUGCAAGGCGGCCAUUUUUUAUCAGUGGCCCAGGGUUCAUGCAAAGGUAGGCUUUUUCUUAGCACACCGUUUUUGUGUUA